rnacentral:rRNA from 1 species
UACGAAGGGAGCUAGCGUUGUUCGGAAUCACUGGGCGUAAAGGGCGCGUAGGCGGCCACCGCAAGUCGGUUGUGAAAUCUCUGGGCUUAACCCAGAAAGGUCAACCGAUACUGCGGGGCUAGAGUGCAGAAGGGGCAACUGGAAUUCUCGGUGUAGCGGUGAAAUGCGUAGAUAUCGAGAGGAACACCUGCGGCGAAGGCGGGUUGCUGGGCUGACACUGACGCUGAAGCGCGAAAGCUAGGGGAGCGAACGGG